rnacentral:rRNA from 1 species
UACUAGAAUAUUAAAAGUUAUGGCCUUUAAAUUUAAAAAAUUUGGCGGUGUUUUAGUCUAGUUAGAGGAACCUGUUUUAUAAACGAUACAACACGCAUUAUUUUACUUAUUUUAGUGGAGCAGUUUGUAUACCGUCAUUAUAAGAUAAUUUAGGAGAAAAUAUUAUUGGAAUCAUAUUUGUGAAUAUAUUAGAUCAAGGUGCAGCUUAUAGAUAAGUAAAUAUGGGUUACAAUAAAAUUAAUUUAAUAUGAAUUAAGUAUUUCAAUAUAUUUAUGAAGGAGGAUUUAAUUGUAAGGGAAGGAGUAGUGAGAUUUUCUGAUAAAAGCUCUAAAUUAUGUACAUAUCGCCCGCCGCUC